CUGGUUACUAUUGAUGUUCAUUUUGAGUUACUUCAUGUGUUUAAAUGUUACUUCUGCGAGCAAGUUUGAACAUGUUUUCCCGUCUGCAACUCAAAAAAUAAGAUUAAUUGAUAUGAAUUGGUCCUAAAGAUAUAAAUGGAAGAGUCAAACAUGGCGGAUAUAGAAAAAACUAUUGAAACAACAUAAUGCUUAAUAUGAAAUAAUUACAGAAUAAGGACAUAGAACGCAAAACAAAAAAGAAAUAAAGUAAAGAAGUUGGAGGAUAAGAACAAGUAAUAAAAGUACAGGAUAUCAAAGCAGUGAUGGAUGAAUGGGAGUGAGCAAAGCACAUGUGAAGUGCAGGUGUGGGUGCGUACGCACGUGGGAGCCUCUGGAUGUCGAGGCUGCAGCACUGGCAGUGUCAGUGGCAGUGAUGGCCCCUGCUCUGACGGAAGGCGGUCCUCAAAAGCCUGAAAACUUACUCCCUUCCCUUCCAGCUAGCGGAUUUCUUUCCCCAGAGCAGGCUACCGAAGUGUGUCAGAAUCGUGAAAUUCUGGCUAAAUUUGUUGUCUCAGCAAACGUUCAACCAUCAAAGAUUGAUGAACAGUGUUUACAUGGUAUAUCUAAGGAUCUCAUUCGUGAUGUCAUCAACUCGAAAUAUGCCAAUGAUCUUGAUAGUUUGUCUACAUUUACGCACGGAUCUGACUUGAUUGCAAAGAAAGCAUCAAUAAAGGAGGACUGUGAACAACCGGAUAUUCCGGGCAGUCCAGAAAAGAAGGCGACUGAUAUUAUAAUGAACGACCCAUCUAUGGGUGAUCAAGCGGACAAUAUGGGUUUCUUAAAAUCAAGUGCAGACUUGCCUUUGGUGGGCUCAGAAGCUGCAGGAGACAAUAAAACUCUGGAUGUGGAUCAAAUAAUGGCCUUUGGUACCGAUAUAACUACAGAUAAUGAGCAGUGUAAUAUGGGCAAUGUCAGUGAUAUUGGACAGAAUGUUGAAGAGAUUUUACAAGUUAUCAAGUCAAUUGAGGGAGUUGAAAAUGCAGAAAAUAUAUCUGCUGGCAGUAACGAACCAGUGCAAAGCACUGUGGAUGGAGUGGAAAUGUUCUCUAUGCCCGAGGAAGGAUUUUCAUCCUUUGAACGGGAUUUACUUAAUGAUGUUGAUGUUAUGAGUCUUUGCAAUAAUAUGAACAUUGCUGAUGUGGACCAACAGAAAAUUAACACCUUAAAACUGCAACAAGACAUUGUUGCACAAAAACAAUAUGAAAGUGAGAGGAGAUGUGCAUUUUUAUUAAGAAGACUGAGGAAGCUUCAAGCAAGGAUAGUAGGCAGGCACGUUGCAGAAGAAAAUACUGGAGUUCUUGAACUUGCUCAUCAUGGAGUGAAGAAAUAUCUUUUUCAAGAAUUGGUUAAUAUCAGUUCUAAGUCUAAUGUUAGAAACUUUCCUGAAAUUAGUAGUAGUUUGAGUUCAUUUUUGCAAAAGAUUGAGAAAAUGUGUGUUGCCCAGAGCAAUAGUGUGAACCGUCAGCGAUUAUGUUGCCGAUACUUUGGUGGUGGAUCGCGUGACAGUUUAAGUAGUACUUCUGGCAAUAAUAGUAAUCGUCAACCAGUGUUUGGUACUCCUCAAGUUAAAAUUAAAGGUGAUGAAGUGGAGAGUGUAGCUGGACCUUUAGCUACACAAUUACAUAUUGUGGAGUCUAAUCUUGAUUCUGAUUGUACUGCGUCUAGUAGUGGUGGAGAAAGCUGUGAUGAAAUGCAGUCAUUUAACAAUCCACAUCAACAACAUUUAUCAAUAUCAAAAAGAGCAGCAUGGAGGUAUGCUCAAGAUCGUGCAGGUGUAGCAGCUAGAUGGACAUGGUUACAAGCACAAAUAUCAGAUUUGGAAUAUAGAAUUAGACAGCAUAAUGAAUUGCAACGACAUGUUAGAGCUAACAAAGGCUUAGUAAUUCUUGAUAAUGCAGAAACAGUAAACGGGUAUAGUGGUGUUUUGCCAGGUUCUACAGGACGUUAUAAUUCGCCGGAAGGUGAAUUACCAGCCAGUAGGACACGGCCGUUUGCGUGGAGUUUUUAUAGGAAGAGAAAAUUGUUACAAAUAGACAGGUUACAUGAAUUUUCGAAACGGGCAGCAAAAGCAUCAACAGUAAGAUGCAACUGUGAUCAUGUAUUACCUCCAUGUGCUUUAUGUACUGGAAGAUUGGAUCCAAUGCAAAUGCAAGAACCAAUUGAACAGAUGUCUGUGCAAGAACGAGUUGCACUUGUUGAUCCUAGUUUUCAUCCUGUUUUGUCAUUUCCUGAUGAAGUUACGCAAGGAACUCAUCUUGAAGCUAUUAUGAAAUCAGUGGAAUGGCAACAAAAAAUGUUACGGGGAAAUUUGCGAAUUACACGCUUAAAAGAUAAAGAAACUAAUGAUAGAAGAAAUAAAAAACUUCCAGGGCAUAGAGCAAAGUAUGCAGCUCGAUUGAAAAAAUCAUCUUCAAGUAUUCUCACUGCAAGAAUCAAGAGAAAAAUGUUAAAAGGAAAAAGGAACAGACUCAGUCACGAUAGAAGUGUACAUGGUUUAAGCAGAAAGAGGGUACAGAAAUUAACAACUGAAGAUGAUGACGAUAUUAGUGCCCUUUCCAGCUCUAGUAAACAUUCAUCUCCAGUGCCUUCACCUCUUCACCAUACUACUGCUUCUACGGAGAAAAAUACAAUUAAAGAAAAAAGUUCUAUUUCUCAUGGGCGCCUGAGGCAAAAUUCAUAUGACAUUGAUAAUAUUGUUAUACCCUAUAGUGUAGCUGCUUCAACUAGGCUUGAAAAAUUACAGUAUAAAGAAAUAUUAACACCAAAGUGGAGGUUAUGUGAGGAACCUUUAAAAUUAGAUAUUAAAAAUGGUGUUAUGCACAGGCCUAGUCAAGACAGUGAUUUCGAAGAUAUGUCAGAUGAAACUAUUGCUUUGAGGCACGAACGAAGUGAACGAGAAGAAAAUAAACGUUUUAUGACAUACAUCACUCUGCCACAUCAGUCACGUAUGCGACACAAUCGCAGAACAGAUAGCCGAGCAGAUAGUGGUGCGAAUACACCAGACCCUAUGUCUCCUCAUGCAAGUGAUUUUGGUGGAGAUAUGAUGUCUCCUAUUACGUCACCUCCUGCAACUCCACAAGUUCAAGAUUCAGAACAUCAACAUAAUUCGGAUACACAUCGAUCAUCUGCUUUGCAAAAUGCUUUGCGACGUCGUACUACGCCUACUCUAAGAUUAGGGAAAGACGAUACUAGUACUUUAAUGAACGAGGACGAAAAUGAGAUUUUGCCGUAUGAACCGAGGGUAUUUCCAUUAUCCGAAGAAGUUUACGACAAAAUGCUGGAAGUAAUGCCAGACGGUCAUUGGCAAGCUUCGUCAGCGUCUCUAUGUUCUCGCGAAGAAGAAAAGGCAGAUGAUGUACGUACAUUGUGUUUGUAUUAAAUGUUUCAUUGUUAAUUAUCUAAGUCAGAACUUUUUAUUACAAACAAAUGUCUGACUGCUCGUACUGACUAUUAAUGUAAACUUUGAGCCAACUUUCAUGGCUCCUCGAGGCUGUUUCUGGAUGGGGAAAUGGAUUCUCCAGAAUCAGAUUCAACAGAAUCAGCUUGUUGUGACAUAGAAGGUGAGGAUCCCAAUGAUCCUGAAUGG
rnacentral:misc_RNA from 1 species